rnacentral:lncRNA from 1 species
UGGAGAACAAGGGAAGACAGUUCAAGAACAAAGGGAAAGCAAUUCGAGUUAUAACAAAAAUUUCAAGGGAAAGCAACAAGGUUCAAAGGAAAACAGUUUGAAUAUUGGAAAUCAGGUGCCUACUUGGAGAUAAAGAGAAUUCACUUCAGAACACAAUUCAAGUUAGCAACAAAAGAAGCUCACGGCAAGAAUGCGAGUCAACAGUCUGAGAUUAUCAACAGAAGUUAGUCACAACAAAGAAAAAGAAAAAAUGAAAGGCAAGAAGUUAAUCCAAAUGCAGAAGUUAAUGAAAGGUGUGGGAUGCUCAAGACAUGGCCAAGGUGACAAGCACUGCAUGCCUGGCCCCGAUCCGGAAAGCCAAAGAAGGAUGAACUAGCCCCUGCAGCUAACAAGCGCCAAUGUUCAAAUCUAAAAUCUGCAUGAAGAACCAUUCAAGACUCAAGAUCAAGCUUCAGAAGACUUAUAGAUAGGAAUAUUGUAACUCGUAGUUGACAGGCUUAGCUAGUCUUUUUCAUCUUUCGACUUUUGAUGUAAUAAUAGGACCGCAGACCAGAUCCUCGGACGAAACCUCACUCGAAUCUCAGCCUCGGUACUCCAUCUCCUCAUUCACUUCAAAACUACACCUGACCUGAUUCCUUUAUAGCCAAGGAUAUAUAGGCAACAUUUGAAGUAAUGUUCGGUCAG